rnacentral:tRNA from 1 species
AGGUCCGUAGCUCAGUUGGCAGAGCUUCCGGCUUUUAACCGGAAAGUCGCAGGUUCGAGUCCUGCCGGGCCUA